AUAUACAAAUACAAAAUCGAUAGAAAAGAAAGUGAGAUCAUGAUUUAU
rnacentral:guide_RNA from 1 species